GGGAUUGUGGUUCAGUGGUAGAGCACUUGCCUCAUAUGCAUGAGGCACUGAGUUUGAUUCUCAGCACCA
rnacentral:tRNA from 1 species